rnacentral:rRNA from 1 species
GAUGAACGCUAGCGGCAGGCCUAACACAUGCAAGUCGAGGGGUAGAAGGAGCUUGCUCCUUUGAGACCGGCGCACGGGUGCGUAACGCGUAUGCAAUCUACCUUGUACAGGGGAAUAGCCCAGAGAAAUUUGGAUUAAUGCCCCAUAGUAUAUAACCUUCGCAUGUUGGUUAUAUUAAAGUUCCAACGGUACAAGAUGAGCAUGCGUCCCAUUAGUUAGUUGGUAAGGUAACGGCUUACCAAGACGAUGAUGGGUAGGGGUCCUGAGAGGGAGAUCCCCCACACUGGUACUGAGACACGGACCAGACUCCUACGGGAGGCAGCAGUGAGGAAUAUUGGUCAAUGGUCGCAAGACUGAACCAGCCAUGCUGCGUGCAGGAAGACGGUCCUAUGGAUUGUAAACUGCUUUUAUACAGGAAGAAACCCUCCCACGUGUGGGAGCUUGACGGUACUGUAGGAAUAAGGAUCGGCUAACUCCGUG